AGAUUGAACGCUGGCGGCAGGCCUAACACAUGCAAGUCGAGCGGUAGAGAGGUGCUUGCAUCUCUUGAGAGCGGCGGACGGGUGAGUAAUGCCUAGGAAUCUGCCUAGUGGUGGGGGAUAACGUUCGGAAACGGACGCUAAUACCGCAUACGUCCUACGGGAGAAAGCGGGGGACCUUCGGGCCUCGCGCCAUUAGAUGAGCCUAGGUCGGAUUAGCUAGUUGGUGAGGUAAUGGCUCACCAAGGCGACGAUCCGUAACUGGUCUGAGAGGAUGAUCAGUCACACUGGAACUGAGACACGGUCCAGACUCCUACGGGAGCAGCAGGUGGGAAUAUUGGACAAGU
rnacentral:rRNA from 1 species